AGUGACACUAACACUGCCUCUGACAUUGAGCUCCUGAGUGAAACCUCAAGUGAUGGUGCCCAACCACCACCCACAAGAGGACGCUCAGAAUGCCCAAUGCCAGAUGGAGACUGGGUUCCCCUCAAACACGAUAGCCCCAGAAAUACUGCCAUUCACUGUUACACCUGGCAUCACUGUAACAGUGUACGAUUGCGAGUCAAUUUGUUGCUCUUUAUGUCGGACAACGUAAUUGAGCUCAUGGCUCAGCAAACAAAUUAAUUUGCCAUGCAGUAUCUCUCUGUACAUCUGGGGUCCCAUUAUAGUUGCAGGAAUAUGUGGCGACCCACGGAUGUUGCAGAGAUGAAGCAAUUUUGGGCUUUAACCCUAGUGAUGGGUAUAGUUAAAAAGCCCAAUAUCAGGUCCUACUGGAGCAAGCAACGCAUCCUGGC